UACGGAGGAUGCGAGCGUUAUCCGGAUUUAUUAGGUUUAAAGGGUGUGUAGGCGGAAGUCUAAGUCAGUGGUGAAAUCCCCCAGCUUAACUGGGGAACUGCCAUAGAUACUGGAUUUCUUGAGUACAGUUGAAGUAGGCGGAAUGUGUAAUGUAGCGGUGAAAUGCUUAGAUAUUACACAGAACACCGAUUGCGAAGGCAGCUUGCUAAGCUGUUACUGACGCUCAUGCACGAAAGCGUGGGGAGCAAACAGGAUUAGAUACCCGGGUAGU
rnacentral:rRNA from 1 species